GGGGAAUUUUGGACAAUGGGCGAAAGCCUGAUCCAGCAAUGCCGCGUGUGUGAAGAAGGCCUUCGGGUUGUAAAGCACUUUUGUCCGGAAAGAAAUGGCUCUGGUUAAUACCUGGGGUCGAUGACGGUACCGGAAGAAUAAGGACCGGCUAACUACGUGCCAGCAGCCGCGGUAAUACGUAGGGUCCGAGCGUUAAUCGGAAUUACUGGGCGUAAAGCGUGCGCAGGCGGUUGUGCAAGACCGAUGUGAAAUCCCCGAGCUUAACUUGGGAAUUGCAUUGGUGACUGCACGGCUAGAGUGUGUCAGAGGGGGGUAGAAUUCCACGUGUAGCAGUGAAAUGCGUAGAGAUGUGGAGGAAUACCGAUGGCGAAGGCAGCCCCCUGGGAUAACACUGACGCUCAUGCACGAAAGCGUGGGGAGCAAACA
rnacentral:rRNA from 1 species